rnacentral:pre_miRNA from 1 species
UAGACCGCGCAAUUCAGAAACAUAGGAUUUGACUUCUGCUUGCUGCUUUUGAAUUGCGCGGUCUAGC